rnacentral:rRNA from 1 species
UACGUAGGGUGCGAGCGUUGUCCGGAAUUAUUGGGCGUAAAGAGCUCGUAGGCGGCUUGUCGCGUCGGAUGUGAAAGCCCGGGGCUUAACUCCGGGUCUGCAUUCGAUACGGGCAGGCUAGAGUUCGGUAGGGGAGAUCGGAAUUCCUGGUGUAGCGGUGAAAUGCGCAGAUAUCAGGAGGAACACCGGUGGCGAAGGCGACUACCUGGCCUGUUUCUUGACGCUGAGGCGCGAAAGCUAGGGGAGCAAACGGG